GAUGAAGAACGUAGUGAAAUGCGAUAAGUAAUGUGAAUUGCAGAAUUCAGUGAAUCAUCGAAUCUUUGAACGCACAUUGCGCCCGCCAGUAUUCUGGCGGGCAUGCCUGUUCGAGCGUCAUUUCAACCAUCAAGCCCCCGGCUUGUGUUGGGGACCUGCGGCUGCCGCAGGCCCUGAAAACCAGUGUCGGGCUCGCUAGUCACUCCGAGCGUAGUAAUACAUCUCGCUCAGGGCGUGCUGCGGGUUCCGGCCGUUAAAAAGCCUUAUUUACCCAAGGUUGACCUCGGAUCAGGUAGGAAGACCCGCUGAACUUAAGCAUAUCAAUAAGCGGAGGA
rnacentral:misc_RNA from 1 species